GACGAACGCUGGCGGUGGGCUUAACAAAUGCGAGUCGACCGGAAGGCCCCUCCUUUUUUGGGUUUCCGGGUGGCCAAAGGGGUGCGUACAAGGUAGGUACCCGGCCCUUGCUUUUGGUGAACUUUAGGGAACCGGGGCUUACACCCGGAUAGCACCUCUUCCUCAGGGGUGGGCGUGGGAACGUUUGGGCGGUUGGGGCUGGACUCGCGGCUUAUCAGCUUGUUGGGGGGGGAGUGGCUUACAAAGGCUUUGACGGGUAGCCGGCCUGAGAGGGUGACCGGCCACAUUGGGACUGAGAUACGGCCCAGACUCCUACGGGAGGCAGCAGUGUGGAAUAUUGCACAAUGGGCGGAAGCCUGAUGCAGCAACGCCGCGUGCGGGAUGACGGCCUUCGGGUUGUAAACCGCUUUCGCCUGUGACGAAGCGUGAGUGACGGUAAUGGGUAAAGAAGCACCGGCUAACUACGUG
rnacentral:rRNA from 1 species